rnacentral:lncRNA from 1 species
ACCCACGCCGCGCGACCCGCAGCCGCCGCCAGGGCCCUCUGCUGCCGCGGAGGUGCUAGGACAGCCGCGGACGGCCCGCCUCCCCGUGCCCCGGGCCUCGAGGCCAAUAAAAAGCUCGCCCCUCCAGCUCACCGGGUCCGACGGGUACGGUACAAAGUGCUGUCUCUCGCCACAGCCACCUUUGUGACAAUAAAAGCAAUAAGGCUAAUGUCCAUGGGGCGCUCACGUUUAUGCAUGAACAGAGAAAGCUGAGAUACGGAGACUAGUGAUCCGUCGAGGUAAUAAACGGCACAGGUGGGGUUUGAACUCCAUCAGUUUGAUUGCAGAGGCCUGGAACAACCCUACAGCCUUCUCUCAGAUCUUUUCUGGACCUUUUUCUAUGCGCUUUGCACCUAGGACGUGAGGCUGCCAAGCUUGGUAUUCAAUAAAUAUUGAUGGAUGAAGGAACAAUGGAAGAAAGGAGUGCAUGGGUAAACAAAUGACAAAUAUGUCAAAGCACGGAUGCAGAUUCUUAGAAUGGGCUAAUGCUGUUUUCUGCUGGAUUUUUGGAUGUGUACAAACGAGUUCUCUCACAAUACAGAUCCACAGUGUCUGGGUCAGAGGAGAACUGAUGCUCCGCAUGGCAUUUUACCAUCCUGCCUGCCUGCCUGGGGCCCUGGGCCCACAGGCUUUGGGGAGAGUGUAUGGCCAGGCUGCAGCCUUCCUGGGAUAAAGCUCUGCCUUUUAGUCUCUUAUCCUACUUUUUAGAAGCCCUUUAAGGUCUUUGUUAAAGGAAAUCUAAUGUGAAGAAUUCCAGGAGAACUGGAUAAGCCUGACUAUGGGUGGGCGUGACUGAAUUACUUCCCGGGCUGGCUAAGGAAGGCCUCCCCCGAAGUGCAUCGGAAGCCUGCAGCUUCUCCUUAUGGCCACUGGAGGGCACUUGGACCAUGAAAUACCAGAUCGUCUCGGCGUCCCAGGUCUUUGGAAAUGUGUGAUUCAAUUCAGCAAACGUUUCAAAAUCAUCACUAUAAAGAUAGCGCUUUUGUGUUGAACAUCCAAUAUGGCGCUAAACACCUUAUAUAUAUGUGUGCGUGUAUAUAUGAACUUGCUUAAUAUUAACUACAAUUGUUGUGAGUUACUUAGGCUAUUUAGGAAAAAAAAAUCAAGGCUUAAAGAAGUCAAAGUACUUACCCAAGAUUGCUUAGCUAAAUAAAAUUUGGGAGUAAGGACUUGAACUCAAGCCCUUGGGCACCAACCAUAAGCAAUAGGUGCACACAAAGCUGAAAUGAGGACUCUCUUAUAAGCAGGAAGACGCACACACCACACAAAUAUUAUUGUUCCUCAACAAUUUACACAUUCUGAAAUUGGAAGAUGACUUACAAUUUGUACAUUACAUGGUAAUGUUUCUUUUUUCCCUUGAAAUGAUGUUAUUAAAUAAAUGAAGUGUCUCACAAUUCAUGGUGUC